AUGCUCGCUUCGGCAGCACAUAUACUAAAAUUGGAACAACACAGAGAAGAUAAGCAUGGCCCUUGCGCAAGGAUGACACGCAACUUCGCAAAGCGUUCCAUGUUUUU
ensembl:snRNA U6 U6 spliceosomal RNA